AGGGGGAGGUCGGAUUCUGGGCUAUGUCCCCGAUGCCCUGUGCUCCCGGUCCUGCGCUGUUGGAUUCGCCCUCCCAGCCAGCCAGCCCCCC
rnacentral:pre_miRNA from 1 species